rnacentral:rRNA from 3 species
GUUGUCCCGGUUUAAGCGUGUAGGCUGGUUUUCCAGGCAAAUCCGGAAAAUCAAGGCUGAGGCGUGACGACGAGGCACUACGGUGCUGAAGCAACAAAUGCCCUGCUUCCAGGAAAAGCCUCUAAGCCUCAGGUAACAUCAGAUCGUACCCGAAACCGACACAGGUGGUCAGGUAGAGAAUACCAAGGCGCUUGAGAGAACCCGGGUGAAGGAACUAGGCAAAAUGGUGCCGUAACUUCGGGAGAAGGCACGCUGACACGUAGGUGAAGCGGUUUACCCGUGAAGCUGAAGUCAGUCGAAGAU